GGGGCUCGGGCGAUUGCGGAUCUCGACGGCGGCAGGAGGCGGCACGGGCGGAGGCGGCGAAGGCGGAGCGGCACGGGUGGAGGAGCUCGGAUGGGAUGCUCGACGGCGGUGUUCGUCGGCGGGGAGGCGGCGCUGCGGUGGAGUUCUCGAGGAAGAAAGGUGAGCUAGUUUUUUUUUCUUUUUUUUUCUUUUUCUCUCGCUCUCUCUGUUUUUUUUUUAAUAGAGAUCUGGUAGUGUUCGGGUUAAUGGGCACAACCCGCUCCGCUAACCUGUU
rnacentral:lncRNA from 1 species